ACAUGUUACAGGUGUGUUGGUGUAAAAAUUGAUGCUGACUGAACUCAGGCAGUUGUGCUGGACCUUCUGUACUUUAUACAGGAGAUGACAGUAAACUUUCAAGUUUAAGAGAACUCAGGCAGUUGUGCUGGACCAUCUGUACUUAAUACAGGGGAUGACAGUAAACUUCCAAGUUUAAGAGCCACCUGAUGAUGAGAGAGACAAUUUCAAUGUGGGCAUCUUGAUGAAGAAGAGUCCACAGUCACAAUAACAAGAUCAUUGGGCUGUCCCCUAAUUGUGGUGAGCUACAUGUUUAGUCUCUUAUGUGCUAAACAUUAUGUAGCCUAAGGAAGCAGCCCUGACUCUGGAGUUUAUAUGAAGGAGCAUGCUGAGUAACUAUCCAGAAUGUAGGUCCAAAGCAGAAAAAAGAGCACCAAGCAGAAA